rnacentral:rRNA from 1 species
AUUGAACGCUGGCGGCAGGCCUAACACAUGCAAGUCGAACGGUAACAGGAAGCAGCUUGCUGCUUCGCUGACGAGUGGCGGACGGGUGAGUAAUGUCUGGGAAACUGCCUGGUGGAGGGGGAUAACUACUGGAAACGGUAGCUAAUACCGCAUAACGUCGCAAGACCAAAGAGGGGGACCUUCGGGCCUCUUGCCAUCGGAUGUGCCCAGAUGGGAUUAGCUAGUAGGUGGGGUAACGGCUCACCUAGGCGACGAUCCCUAGAUGGUCUGAGGGGAUGACCAGCCACACUGGAACUGAGACACGGUCCAGACUCCUACGGGAGGCAGCAGUGGGGAAUAUUGCACAAUGGGCGCAAGCCUGAUGCAGCCAUGCCGCGUGUAUGAAGAAGGCCUUCGGGUUGUAAAGUACUUUCAGCGGGGAGGAAGGCGAUAAGGUUAAUAACCUUGUCGAUUGACGUUACCCGCAGAAGAAGCACCGGCUAACUCCGUGCCAGCCGCCGCGGUAA